GACGAACGCUGGCGGCGUGCUUAACACAUGCAAGUCGAACGGAAAGGCCCUGCUUUUGUGGGGUGCUCGAGUGGCGAACGGGUGAGUAACACGUGAGUAACCUGCCCUUGACUUUGGGAUAACUUCAGGAAACUGGGGCUAAUACCGGAUAGGAGCUCCUGCUGCAGGGUGGGGGUGGGAAAGUUUCGGCGGUUGGGGAUGGACUCGCGGCUUAUCAGCUUGUUGGUGGGGUAGUGGCUUACCAAGGCUUUGAAGGGUAGCCGGCCUGGGAGGGUGACCGGCCCCAUUGGGACUGAGAUGCGGCCCAGACUCCUACGGGAGGCAGCGGUGGGGAAUAGUGCACAAUGGGCGGAAGCCUGAUGCAGCAACGCCGCGUGCGGGAUGACGGCCUUCGGGUUGUAAACCGCUUUCGCCUGUGACGAAGCGUGAGUGACGGUAAUGGGUAAAGAAGCACCGGCUAACUACGUG
rnacentral:rRNA from 1 species